ACUGAACGCUGGCGGCAGGCCUAACACAUGCAAGUCGAGCGGAUGAGAGGAGCUUGCACCUCGAUUCAGCGGCGGACGAGUGAGUAAUGCCUAGGAAUCUGCCUAGUAGUGGGGGACAACGUUUCGAAAGGAACGCUAAUACCGCAUACGUCCUACGGGAGAAAGUGGGGGAUAUUCGGACCUCACGCUAUUAGAUGAGCCUAGGUCGGAUUAGCUAGUUGGUAGGGUAAAGGGCUACCAAGGCGACGAUCCGUAACUGGUCUGAGAGGAUGAUCAGUCACACUGGAACUGAGACAGGGUCCAGACUCCUACGGGAGGCAGCAGUGGGGAAUAUUGGACAAUGGGCGAAAGCCUGAUCCAGCCAUGCCGCGUGUGUGAAGAAGGCCCUCGGGUCGUAAAGCACUUUAAGUUGGGAGGAAGGGCUUACAGCGAAUACCUGUGAGUUUUGACGUUACCGACAGAAUAAGUACCGGCUAACUUCGUGCCAGCCGCCGCCGUAAAAC
rnacentral:rRNA from 1 species